rnacentral:tRNA from 1 species
GGGCCAGUGGCGCAACGGAAGCGCACCCGCUUGGCUUGCGGGAGGCUCAGGGUUCAAUUCCCUGCUGGUCCA